UACGGGGGAGCAAGCGUUGUUCGGAUUUACUGGGCGUAAAGGGCGCGUAGGCGGCCAGCACAAGUCAGUUGUGAAAUCUCCGAGCUUAACUCGGAAAGGUCAACUGAUACUGUGCGGCUAGAGUGCGGAAGGGGCAACUGGAAUUCUUGGUGUAGCGGUGAAAUGCGUAGAUAUCAAGAGGAACACCUGCGGCGAAGGCGGGUUGCUGGGCCGACACUGACGCUGAGGCGCGAAAGCCCAGGGGGAGCGAAACGGGG
rnacentral:rRNA from 1 species